UACGGAGGGUGCGAGCGUUGUCCGGAAUCACUGGGCGUAAAGGGCGCGUAGGCGGUUCGUUAAGUCCUGUGUGAAAUCCCCCGGCUCAACUGGGGAACUGCACAGGAAACUAGCGGGCUUGAGUUCGGGAGAGGGAAGCGGAAUUCCGGGUGUAGCGGUGAGAUGCGUAGAUAUCCGGAGGAACACCGGUGGCGAAGGCGGCUUCCUGGACCGACACUGACGCUGAGGCGCGAAAGCUAGGGGAGCAAACGGG
rnacentral:rRNA from 1 species